GGGAAAUACUGGAGAACGUGACUCUGAGUUGUCCCACCCAAGGAGACAGGAGGUAGGGGGACUCCUCCGUGGACUCCUAAAGGUUUAUGGUUGAAGGGUGCUCCUAAAGGUGUUAACUUCCUGGUGUUUGGGCCUACCCUGAAGCAGGUUGCUGUUCUGGAAGCUGGGAGACAGCGAACUGGUGCAAUAAGGAAAGAGGUGAUGAAGGCCUAGAUCACUGGCUUUUGAAUACAGCAAAAAGAUAGACAAAAUACCUUUAUUUUUUAUGCGUUAUGGAGGAUCGAAUCCAGUGCCUCACACAUGCCAGGUGAGCGAGCACUCUACCACUGAGUUACAACCCCAGCCCUCUUUGAAACUUUUAUCCAUCUAUAUUUAUUCCCCACCCUAUAGAAGGGAUUAGAUACCCAGGGCCUUGUGCAUGCUAGGCAAAUCCUUUACCAUUAAGCUUUACCACCAGCCCUAUUUUAUUUCAAGACAGGGUCUCACUAAGUAUUCCAGGGUGACCUGGACCAUAUCUU